GACGUAGGGUGCGAGCGUUGUCCGGAUUUAUUGGGCGUAAAGAGCUCGUAGGCGGCUCGUCGCGUCGACCGUGAAAACCCGCGGCUUAACUGCGGGCUUGCGGUUGAUACGGGCGGGCUAGAGUUCGGUAGGGGAGACUGGAAUUCCUGGUGUAGCGGUGAAAUGCGCAGAUAUCAGGAGGAACACCUGCGGCGAAGGCGGGUUGCUGGGCUGACACUGACGCUGAAGCGCGAAAGCCAGGGGAGCGAACGGG
rnacentral:rRNA from 1 species